GGCAAGACCACGUGACUCUGUGCGGUCCCUUCCACACCCCCUCGUGACUGGGAAUGCUGGAACACUUUCCCCUUCCACCAUCUGAAACCUUCCCUCAAGCCUCCCUCGGCCCCCAAGGCGGGGGGUGAUCUCGCCGCCUCCUGGGUGAACAGAGGGACGAGGUUCCCUGUGUUCCGGGCGGGGUGUUCCCAGUACCUGCGAGGCAGGCGGCGGCGUCCAUCCAGCGGAGCAGCUGCCCGGCGCUCAGCUCCCCGCGGGGGUCGGCGUGGGCCGGCAGGACCCCCUGGCACAUGCACACAUCCAUGGGGGAAUGUCUCAUCCCGCAGCUGCCCCGGCAACCGCAGGCUCCACGCUCCGGGAUCACCGCCGCCCGCCGGGAUGGGUGGGACAGGCCCGCCCCGGCGCCGCGGGAUCGGCCAGGAUCUCCUCCGCCUGCUCUUACUGUCUCACGUUGUCACCAACUUGACAGCCCAGCAGGUGUGUCCAGGGAAGACAUGUUCCCCUCUCACGCAGGUGGCUUUCACCUCCAUUUCACACUGACCCGGUGAUCAGGUGUUUGACCCACUAUAGAUCUGUUCUCUGCUGUGAGAUGAGGAGCUGCAGAGCCUCUAGAAUCACAUAUAGCUAAAGGAGCAAGAAGGUAAAGGAAUGUAACUGACUGCAAAGGAACCUCUGAAGCUUUUUACACAGUCUCCACUGGAGUAAUGGAGUAUUUUACAGCUUUUGGUGCACUUGUGCUCAGAAGAUAACCUGCAAAGUCAAUAUUGUUCUCCUUUCACAGCUGAAAAAUUAACAGAAAUUAAGUUACUGACCCCAGUUCACAGAGCGGAUUUGUGUUUUUCAAUGGUUUCCCAGUCGAAAAAGUACCUUUUGUGUCACAAUUACAACAGCACCUGUGGCAAUACCAACAGGUGAAGGUAGCUGGCUCUAAGGCAACCUCUAGGAAGCAUCUUUGUGCACCUUUUCCUGUUAAUAAAAGAUUAGCUCAGUAUGAGAUGUGAACAAAUCUUCUGCAAAGCCAUGAGACCUAGUCAGAAGUGCUCCAAAAUGCAUCCUUUUGUUAACAUUUUAAAUACAGAUGUCAGUUACUGCAGUCAAUCAACUGCAACAUACAGCUGUGCAUCUCUGUAGACUGCAUAUUUCUAUAUUCUUGAAACAAAUAUGUAACUGCCUGAAGUUACAAAUGUUUUAUGUAUGCUUCUUUCAUAACCCUAGUUAUUAAUAGAAAAAAGGUGAGUUGUUUUUUUUUGACACAGUUCGUGAAAAUACAACUACUUCUUGUAAA